ACACACACCUCCCCACGAAAACCCCAAUGUUCUCAGAUGUUCCCGGAGGGUGUCGUUAGCUGAGCCUGUUGGUCACUCUUGACUGGGAGAAUCCAGUCCCCAGGAACCCUGGGGCUCAAGCCAGGCAAAAGCAGUACCCUUUUGAGAGGCACAGGCUCUGACCCUCAGCUUUAAUUUGCAGUCUGAUCCCUAGUGUCUGGACAGCCCCAGCAGGCAAGGUCUCCGUUUCUCCCUAGGGACACAGUCCCCAGCCCUGUAAUAUAGGGCUCUCGGCUGGAAGUGAGGUGCGGGGUCCCAGGCUGUGAAGGUGUUCACAGGGGCGCGGGGGGGGGGCAGUUAGCACUAAGCACUCACUCUGAGCCCCCAGCACACUUGCACACCUGCACACAAGGGCAUGCAUGCGUACCCUGCAUUCAGAACCUGCCUUUGCUAAGAUCUAAGUUACACACAUUAUUCCUCAAUCUGCUGGUGGUACCCAUUACCUUGAAUCCUCUUUCAGUACACAAUGAGGCAGAGACUUCUCAUUAAAACCAUCCCGGCAGAAAUGACGAUAUUCUAAAGAGAUGCCCUUGUCUUUCAACGUGACUAUCAAGCUAUUGAAACAGUGCAGCUCAAAUAAAUAGCAACUUCAUAAAUUGGAAUUUCCCCAGGAAUCUCAAAAUGGGAGAAGGGAAAGGCUCCACCCCUGUGGGGGAGGGAAUUUAUCUCCUGGAGGGAGACUCCACACAGCUUGUCGGACCACCUUACCGAGGAGGCUGAAGCCCAGACAACAAUGGAUUGGAGAUGCAUCCCAGGACUGGCAAUGAGACCCUGAACUAGCCCCCCUCCUUCUGGUCCCCGGUUUCCUAUGCUGGCUGAAGUUCACAGAAGUCUCUAUGUCCUGGAAGGAAGGAAAGAGUAUGCCUGAGGGAUCCGGAGGACAGGUAGCACCCUUGGCCUGCGGGCUCCCCACCCCAGCCUGGCAUCCUGAAGGGCCCACUCAAGUAUCUACAACACGGAAGAACUAUGACCUGCGCCCCAAGGGAAGAUUUUGCCCCUCCACCAGCAGCUGCUAUCUCCGGGGCAGAUCCCAAGUCAGCCGGACCCCACAAGCUUUUAAGUUCUUUUGUGAGUUACACAGAACUGGCUUCAAAUCCGGACUGUCCCCUUCGUUCAGUCUCUGCCCCCUGCUACAGGAGGCACCGAGCUGCGCAUUGGAGCUUCAGACUGACAGCAAAGUAAAACCAGUCUCAGUUCCUGAAGGUGCUCACCCUGCACCCUGCACCUGUAGCCAGUCGUGAGUCAGCGCAAGGCACACUGGGAAAUGUAGG
rnacentral:sRNA from 1 species